UUAAAGAACAGCUCCUCUGUAUGCAGCUCCACCAUGGUGUCACAAGACACAAAGUUUGCCAAAGAAGCCAAGUUAAGCUUGGUAAACUACACAGACUCGGAUGAAUCAGCCGUCAGUUCCAACACUAAUGAAGAUGUUCCCUCAUCCACCAUACAGAGCAAAGAGAAGAUUCCUGUUGGAUUUGAUCUUUCUGACUCCAGUAUGACACAUGGAGAUGAUGUCCGACAAUUGAUUGUGCCAAGGCUUAGGAGGACCAAAAGCGUCUUUAUGAAAGACAGGAUUCCUGAUGGAUCUGAUGAGCUUUAUUGCACCAGUACUGAUAGUGGGGAAGAAUACGUUCCAGCUUCAAUUGCAGAAAGUACAGAUGAUACAGAUGGAAGCAUGAUCUGUGAAAUGUCACCAUCUAUGUCACCAUCAUCCUUGUCAGACAGGACUCUGAGUAGCAGAAGCAGUGCAACAAAUGUCUGUAUUCCUGACACCACAUGCUCUCCUAGCAGGGAACAUGGUGAAAGUGCCUCAGUAUCCAUUCCUGCUGUCAGAAAGAAAGAAGAUGGAUCUCGGAUGUACAACAAGAGACAGUUCUGUUUGUAUUGCGGGUCUUCUUUCCUAAAAAUCGUGAAGCAUUU